AGCGAACGCUGGCGGCAGGCCUAACACAUGCAAGUCGAACGAACCCUUCGGGGUUAGUGGCGGACGGGUGAGUAACACGUGGGAACGUGCCUUUAGGUUCGGAAUAACUCAGGGAAACUUGUGCUAAUACCGAAUGUGCCCUUCGGGGGAAAGAUUUAUCGCCUUUAGAGCGGCCCGCGUCUGAUUAGCUAGUUGGUGAGGUAAUGGCUCACCAAGGCUACGAUCAGUAGCUGGUCUGAGAGGAUGACCAGCCACAUUGGGACUGAGACACGGCCCAAACUCCUACGGGAGGCAGCAGUGGGGAAUCUUGCGCAAUGGGCGAAAGCCUGACGCAGCCAUGCCGCGUGAAUGAUGAAGGUCUUAGGAUUGUAAAAUUCUUUCACCGGGGACGAUAAUGACGGUACCCGGACAAGAAGCCCCGGCUAACUUCGUGCCAGCCGCCGCGGUAAGAC
rnacentral:rRNA from 1 species